UACGUAGGUGGCAAGCGUUAUCCGGAUUUAUUGGGUGUAAAGGGCGUGUAGGCGUGAGCGCAAGUCAGAUGUGAAAACUCAGGGCUCAACCCUGAGCCUGCAUUUGAAACUGUGUUUCUUGAGUGCUGGAGAGGCAAUCGGAAUUCCGUGUGUAGCGGUGAAAUGCGUAGAUAUACGGAGGAACACCAGUGGCGAAGGCGGAUUGCUGGACAGUAACUGACGCUGAGGCGCGAAAGCGUGGGGAGCAAACAGG
rnacentral:rRNA from 1 species